AACUGGUAUACAAUGAAUAACUUUGCAUGGUCGAAUUUUUGAGGUUAUAAAGUUUUUUUUAUUCUUAUCGAGACUUUCAGCCCGAGGCUAGUUCGUCUCGAAUGGUUACCAAUGUUCUAGAAACGUAUUCAGUACAUAAAAAUACAGCAUUCAGCUACACAGAGCGAAAAAAAGUUGUGAUUUUAACAUUUAUCUAAUCUUGUUUUAACAAUUAGGAAAAUUUGGUAUUCUUGAGUGCUAAAACGUUUAAUUCAAAAGUAAAAUAUUUGAUAUGACAGUUUUUUCCUCAGUGUAAACCCGUUAUUUUUACAGUAAAACCACUCAAAAUAAAAUGGAAAAAAUAUUCAAAUUUACUUGAAUAUUUCGUAUUUUUGGCAACACAGACAACAAAAAAUAAUGAAACUGGCAGCCCACGACAAUCUGUCAAAAUCGAAAACAGAAAAAGGAGGGAGAUUUAUCCCGCAAAGGGUUGUGCCGAAAGAAGUGCUAAUGGUCAACAUGAAAGAUGAUUUUCUGCUAAUCGUAUCCCUCCAAAAACACAGGAAUCCCGUGCCAUUCGCGACAUGUAUCUGGUUCGGUGUCUGGAGAAAGACCACCGGAGGAUCUGCCUCGAUGUGGUUUUGAAAUUCAUCACGUCGGAGUGAUCUGUGUGGACAGAACUUUAAAUGCCGAUCCAGCCGAUCGUUACAUACAAGCUCCAACCCAAGUCCAACCUCGUUUAGGGUGAGAAUCUGCCCGCUCACACGGUUAUGGAAGGAAGCAAAAUUCGUCUGCAUCAUAAUUCCGAAGAAUCAAUAUCGCAGAGCUUCACAGCAAUGGUGCCUUACGGUGAUUUAGGAUCAUGAAUUUCCAAGCGAAUGCACACCAUUAUUUAUCGUUGCAAUAACUGGAAAAUGAGCAUGCCAAUAUACUUGCGCAAGGACAUCAACAAGAUGAUGGUUCAGACAAA